UACGUAGGGUGCAAGCGUUGCCCGGAAUUACUGGGCGUAAAGGGUUUGUAGGUGGCCACUUAAGUCAGACGUGAAAUCCCUCAGCUUAACUGGGGAACUGCGUCUGAUACUGCGUGGCUUGAGUGCAGGAGAGGAACGCGGAAUUCCAGGUGUAGCGGUGAAAUGCGUAGAUAUCAGGAGGAACACCUGCGGUGUAGACGGCUUACUGGACCGUAACUGACGCUGAGGCACGAAAGCGUGGGUAGCAAACAGG
rnacentral:rRNA from 1 species